AUUAGAUACCCUAUUAUUUUUAUUGUUAAUUUGUAAGCUUGAGUAUUAAUAGAUAUGAUCUUUAAACUUAAAGAAUUUGGCGGUAUUAUAGUCUAUUUAGAGGAAUCUGUUAUGUAAUUGAUAAUCCGCGUUGAAUCUUACUUAUAUUAUUAUCUUGUAUACCGCUGUUUAUGAAUAUACUUUUAGGUUAUUUUCUUGAUGUAAUGUUAAAAAGGAUUUCAAGUCAAGGUGCAGUAAUAUAUAAGUUGGGUAAUGGAUUACAUUAAAUUGUAUUUAUUACGGAUAAUUAUUUGAAUAUUAUUUGAAGGUGGAUUUAAUUGUAAUUUUAUGAAGAUUAUUAAAAUGAUUAUUAGCUCUAUAAUAUGCACACAUCGCCCG
rnacentral:rRNA from 1 species